CCGUGUCCUCGUCUUUCCCUCUCUCGCUUUGACGCAAAUUUGCAGUUCACUAUCGCACUUCACCUUAUUUUCUUCCUUCCUCAUUUCCUCUCCAACUUACCUCCUCCUCCUCUGAGUCUUCUCUCUCUCUCUCUCUCUCUCUCUCUCUCUCUCAUUUGGUAAUUACGAUGGCGAUUUCGCUGGUGACCUUUUUGAGAAUUCUGUUCGGAAUUCUGGGCUCCCUGAUGCUCCUCACUCUCGUUUACACCAUCUUCUCCGACGGCCUUCCCUUCCGCACCGACCUCCUCACUCCAUGGAUGGCAGCAACCUUGGUUGAUUUCUACAUCAAUGUUGUGCCAAUCGCGGCUUGGGUAAUCUACAAGGAAUCGAACUGGAUUAGAGCAGGACUGUGGAUAGUAUUGCUAAUAUGUCUUGGAAGUUUGACUACAUGUGGCUACAUCCUUCUGCAAUUGAUGAAGCUCUCUACGAAGGAAUCAGAAGAUCCCAUUUACCAUGUUCUGUUGUGCCAUUCAAACAAGUACAGUGUUGUAGAUAAGCAUAGGCAAUCCCAUGUUCUGAUUGCCAGAGUUGUAUUCGCUGCUUUGGGACUUCUGAUGCUGGGAACUCUCAUAUACACUCUGUUAACAGAUGGUUCUCCUUUUCGCAAAGAGCUUUUUACACCGUGGAUGGAUGCAACUCUAAUUGAUUUUUAUAUCAAUGUAACAGCUCUUUCAGUUUGGGUUGCUUACAAGGAAUCAAGCUGGGUCACUGCCGUUGUGUGGAUAAUUUUAUUGAUAUGUUUUGGCAGUGCAUUAGUGUUCCUAUACAUCAAGCAGACUAGUUCAACUGCUCAAUACAAAGCAUUACCACAUGUGUUUAUAUCACCAUUCAGUUGUCACGGCUGACAUGCCAAGAUCCAAUCUACGUUGCUUUAUUUAAAAGUGGUGACAGGAGACUAAAGUGGGCAGCUUAGGAAGCUAUGUGAUUGAUAUUACAGGGGCAGAAAGCAGGUCUGAGGGGGUUUUGAUCUGAGGAGACAAUGUAACUUUGGAGGUUCUUGUGUAGUUCAAUACCUGUGCAUUCCUAUGCAUAAUUUGAAUAGACAAUUCCACUGGUGUAAAUCCAGGUUUCUGUUGUAAUGCCAAAUCGACACAAAUGUAAAAAUGAUUAAUAAAUACGAAUGUGGAUCAGAAUGAAAUGCGUUACAAGAGAAAGGUGCAAUAGAUGGCGCAAAUGAAUAAUCUCCAAAAUACCUUCGGCUGAAACCUUGCACCUCUUUCCAUUUUCUAUCUUUUCCUGGAUUUCAAAUCAUCAUCCAAAACUAAAAUGCAUGAAUAAUUAGGUUCAAAUUAGCUUCAGCUCAUGUCCUAGUAGUCUAGUACAGCUCUAA